rnacentral:lncRNA from 1 species
AUGCGGAGGUGGAAGCGGCGCGGCGCGGCUGGGCGCUCCCGGGCAGCUCCGCAACGCGAGGUUUCGGGCUCUCGGCUCGGCUUCCUCCGGGCCCCCUCUCCAGGGCCGCUCUGCUGGACCAGGACGCCGAGGGGAGCGGCGCGGGGAGGGCGCUCCGGGCCGUGCGCGCUGCGCCCACAAAGGGCAGCGGUCCCGCCGCCCCGCGCCUCCGCUGCGUGCGGGCUGACGGCCGCCUCCCGGCUCCCCCUUUCCGGCCCCCCGGGAGAGUUGGGGCUUGUUCUCCGGCCUGGGCCGCGCGGGGGUGAGGCCGGGGGCCGGCGCGGCCGCUACUGCCGCGGCUCCGUCCCGCGCAGCUGCCGCCGCCGCCGCCGCGGCCGCCCCUGCUGCCUGCGCGCCGGCACCCGCCCGCCGCUCCUUGCCCGGCGCCGCUCACUCGCGCGCGCCGCCCCACCCCCGCCGCCGCCGCCGCCGCCCGCGCACCCCGCUCGGCCUCCGCGAGCGCGACCGACGCGAGCCGCCGCCGCCGCCGCUCUCCCCGCGCUCGCCGCACGCGCUGCCAGGCUGCGCGGCCCUCGCUCCUCGCCUCUCCCCUCCCGCCGCCGCCGCCGCCCUCGCCCCCGCCCCCGCCUCCCUCCUCCGCCGAGCUUCCCCGCCCGCGUCGUGGCCAAUCGGAGGCCACUGAGCUGCGGCGGUAGCCGGCCGGAUCCCCGGCAGCCGCCCGCCCCCGCCCCGCGGAGCACCCCGGGUUUUUUGCUGCAGCCCGCGGGGGGUCGCCGGGGGGAAGCCUGGGGUGCGCGCAGCACCGCCCGGCAGGUGGAGGGGCUGCGGGAAUCAGAUAACUUGCUCGGGAACUUGAUGCUCGGCAGGUUCCUCGUCGGACCGCGGUGGGGAAUGCGAGAUCGGGAAGGGGGAGACUGCCGCCUAGGGAGCCCGACACGCGCGUCUUUCCCUGCUCUGUCAUCCUUGCUGGAUAGAUUAUUUUUCCGGGUAGAGGCAGACGGCAAACGGGCGACGCAGGCAGAGCCCACCCAGGCCAUUGUUGUCUGGGGUGCCGGCCUGGAGCCACCUGCGGGCCCCGGAGGGCGGAGGCCGCGGUCCCCCCCCCCCCGCCCUGCCCCGCCCCGCCCCGCGCUCGCGCCCACUGCUCCCACCUUUGCGAAUGUACCGGAACGGCCCAAGUGUGUGUGUGCUCGUUUCGUUUUCUUUUGUUCCCUCUGGGAGUUUGAGAGUGCGUGCUAUUUUAUUUGA